rnacentral:misc_RNA from 1 species
UCGAUGUUCGUUAAGACGGUUAUCGGGAUUAAGGAGCAGGUGCUUUAAGCACGCCGAACCAACGUCGGGGGGGUAUAGCUCUGCAUUUGGGAUUGUUUGUGUUUUGUGUUGUGGAGUAGAAGUCGGGUGUUUUGCGGCAUGUGUGAGUGCGUAGCACGAGAUGCAUGAGUUCGAUGAACAGGGAGGAUGACUCCUGUGCGAGGACGUUUCGGGGACAUUUGAUAAACUGACGGAUCCUUUGAGAGAUUGGACGAUUGUUCUUUGGAGUAGAUUGGGGGCGAGAUUGGGCGAGGCUAGGCGAUGCUGCUGUCGAGGGUCGAGGACAGCUCGAUGACGGGGGAUGCACUAGGUUCGCCUUUUUAGAGAUUCAAGGGGAUAUUUUGAGUGCAGUGAUAGUUAGUUUUGGGCAUUAUUUGUUUAGUUAGUCUAAGAUUUAAAAGAUGCAUGUUUGUGAGAAAUGGAGAGCUAGAAUGGAGCGACAGAACGUGUUUUAGGCUGGAGCGGCUGUUUCAGUUUGAGAGCCAUGCUGUGAGCGAGUAUGAUUGAUUGCGAGGAAAGUAGAAUUAAGAU